rfam:Triticum aestivum genome assembly, contig: Triticum_aestivum_CS42_TGACv1_scaffold_332813_4BS
CAAAUACUCCCUCCGUCCGGAAAUACUUGUCAUCAAAAUGGAUAAAAGGAAAUGUAUCUAGACAUAUUUUAGUUUUAGAUACAUCUCUUUUUAUCCAUUUUGAUGACAAGUAUUUUCGGAUGGAGGGAGUAGAAA